rnacentral:rRNA from 1 species
UACGGAGGGAGCGAGCGUUGUUCGGAAUUACUGGGCGUAAAGCGUAUGUAGGCGGCUUCGUAAGACAGAUGUGCAAUCCCAGAGCUUAACUUUGGAACUGCAUUUGUGACUGCAAGGCUUGAGUAUCGGAGAGGUUGACGGAAUUCCAAGUGUAGAGGUGAAAGUCGCAGAUAUUUGGAGGAACACCGAUGGCGUAAGCAGCCAACUGGACGAUUACUGACGCUGAGAUACGAAAGCGUGGGGAGCAACCAGG